UACGUAGGGACCAAGCGUUGUUCGGAUUUACUGGGCGUAAAGGGCGCGUAGGCGGCGUGGUAAGUCACUUGUGAAAUCUCCGAGCUUAACUCGGAACGGUCAAGUGAUACUGCUGUGCUAGAGUACAGAAGGGGCAAUCGGAAUUCUUGGUGUAGCGGUGAAAUGCGUAGAUAUCAAGAGGAACACCUGAGGUGAAGACGGGUUGCUGGGCUGAUACUGACGCUAAGGCGCGAAAGCGUGGGGAGCGAACAGG
rnacentral:rRNA from 1 species